rnacentral:lncRNA from 10 species
AUGAAACUGUUCCACCUCGUAUGCUCAGGCAUUAGUUAGAUUCUCAUAAGGAGCACGCAACCUGGAUCCCUCUCACACGCACAGCUCACGACAGGGUUCAUGCUCCUAUGAGAUCGAAUGCCGCCGCCGAUCCGACGGGAGGCUGUGCGGCCCAGUUCCUGACAGGCCACGGACCAGUACCUGUCCACACUUGGGGUUGGGCACCCCUGUUUAAAGGUACCUUGUUAAUCUGCCCAGUCUAGUCCCAGAGAACGCCAAAGGCAUGUGUUCAUGCCAAAUUGUGCAGGACUGUGGGAGAUUUGGGGUGGGGGCUUCACCGACGAACUGUGGGAUUCUCCUCAUCUGAGGC